rnacentral:tRNA from 1 species
AAUUGACUAGCUCAGUCGGUAGAGCAUGAGACUCUUAAUCUCAGAGUCAUGGUUUCAAGCCCCACAUUG